GAAAAAAAAAGAGGUUCAAGGAGGUGCCUUUUUGUAGAGUCUUCCCAGGAAAGUGAGGAGGAAGAAGAGCAGCAAACACAUGGGUCUCACCAAUCCCUAUCCAGACCGCCGGCUUCCAAGCGGAAGUUAUCUUCUCUUUCUAGUUCUUCGGAGGAUGAUAGUGGCCCGGAACGUCAGGAGGAAGAACAAGAAGAAGAAGAAGAACAACAACAAGGAGAAGGAGAAUUAUUCAUCCUACAAAGCCCAGUGAAGAACCCUCAAACAGAUUAGGCCACCAUGUGCAAGAUAGGGGCAGAUCCAUCCGCUGGCCACACCUACUUGGGCAGGCCAGUCCUUGUGAGCCAGAAGGACAUGAAGCUCCUAGAGGCGAAGGUGUCGCCGAGGGUCAAGAUGGUUAAGGCCAAGUGUUCCACUGUCAUGCUCAGCAGUUCGGAUGAUGAAGACAUUGAAGAGUCUGCGGUGUAUGAAUCCUUCAAAUUUGUUUAGUAUUCAUCGUUGCAUUUUGCCCAAUUUUUCUUGUUGUUGUUGUUGUUGUUGAAUUGUUCUUAUUG